AGCGAACAGACGAGGAGCUUGCUCCUCUGACGUUAGCGGCGGACGGGUGAGUAACACGUGGAUAACCUACCUAUAAGACUGGGAUAACUUCGGGAAACCGGAGCUAAUACCGGAUAAUAUAUUGAACCGCAUGGUUCAAUAGUGAAAGACGGUUUUGCUGUCACUUAUAGAUGGAUCCGCGCCGCAUUAGCUAGUUGGUAAGGUAACGGCUUACCAAGGCAACGAUGCGUAGCCGACCUGAGAGGGUGAUCGGCCACACUGGAACUGAGACACGGUCCAGACUCCUACGGGAGGCAGCAGUAGGGAAUCUUCCGCAAUGGGCGAAAGCCUGACGGAGCAACGCCGCGUGAGUGAUGAAGGUCUUCGGAUCGUAAAACUCUGUUAUUAGGGAAGAACAAAUGUGUAAGUAACUAUGCACGUCUUGACGGUACCUAAUCAGAAAGCCACGGCUAACUACGUGCCAGCAGCCGCGGUAAUACGUAGGUGGCAAGCGUUAUCCGGAAUUAUUGGGCGUAAAGCGCGCGUAGGCGGUUUUUUAAGUCUGAUGUGAAAGCCCACGGCUCAACCGUGGAGGGUCAUUGGAAACUGGAAAACUUGAGUGCAGAAGAGGAAAGUGGAAUUCCAUGUGUAGCGGUGAAAUGCGCAGAGAUAUGGAGGAACACCAGUGGCGAA
rnacentral:rRNA from 1 species